GCGGCGGCUUCGGACCUUUUGAUCAACGGCGGCGAGCGAAUCUCGGCGGCGGCAGUGGCUAUGGGUGGCGGCUAGAUUCGGGCAGCCUGGUGGCGAAUCGAGUGGGAGAGGAGGGGGGAAAAGAAGAGGAACUCGGGGCCUAUAAAGUGAUGCGCGGAGAAAUCGGGGAGGUGGCCGUGGUGUGCGCGCUCGGUUCCUGGCGGUUGGAGGUUGAAGGCGAAGCUGACGGGCGGGGCCCGCAUGGCAGUGGCUACGGCUCGAGCGCGCGUGGAGACGGGCUACUCGCGGAGGUAAGUGGGCCGGCCCAGUAAGGGUCGGUCCGGUUCCCUUUUUUUCUUUUCUUUCUUUUUCCUUUUUCUUUUUCUGGUUUUGAACUAACUUUUGAUUCAAAGCUCCAAAUUGAGUCAAAUAAAAUGCAAAAAAAUUUGUAAAAUCAUAUCUUCAUAUGAUUCAACUUUUGGGACAAGAAUUUCCUCAAAAUAAAAUACAUAAAAAUAAUUUUGCUUGUAUAAUUGCCUUUAGGGCUUUAUAACAAUUUAAAUUAAAUAGUUUUUCAACUCCAAUUUAAAUACCAAAAAUU
rnacentral:lncRNA from 1 species